UACGUAGGGGGCAAGCGUUGGUCCGGAUUCAUUGGGCGUAAGAAGCGUGUAGGCGGCCAGGUAGGUCGGUUGUGAAAACUGGAGGCUCAACCUUCAGAGGUCGACCGAAACCAUCUGGCUAGAGUCCGGGAGAGGAGAGUGGAAUUCCUGGUGUAGCGGUGAAAUGCGCAGAUAUCAGGAAGAACACCCGUGGCGAAAGCGGCUCUCUGGAACGGUACUGACGCUGAGACGCGAAAGCGUGGGGAGCGAACAGG
rnacentral:rRNA from 1 species